CUGGAGGGAGUGAGUUUGAUAGCUGAAGCUUUACUCCUGAUUCCUUUUGUCCACUUUCCUGAAGGGUGUCUUGAAGAA